UGAUGUUCUUAAGCACCAAAGCACUGGCUCAAAGGUUUAGCCAUGAGUAGGAUGUCCUUCAGGAAGACUCAUAGAUGACUCAUCAUAACAAUGCUCCCAGGGUACCAGAAGGUGCUAUGCAAGCCAACAAAGGAGAAAAGCAGCUAAUGGUCCUACCCAGAGUGACACCGAUAAAUCACAACAAUGACCAGCACAGCAAGAUAUCCACAAAGGAGACAUGAAACUUUGGGCCUAUCAUCAGCACCUCCUUAAGCUGAGAACUUGGCCAGGUGAGGUUAGCUGUGGCUUGUUCUGUCUCUGACCAUCCAGCAUUCACCCCAAUACCUAGCUCAGGUUGGAUUUAAUUAAUAAGACCUUUUAAGAUUCCAGCUAUAUCUGGCUCCUAACUUGUCAGGUAGGAAUUCAUGAAAAAGCUACUUGCCUGUGGUCUUGAGGGCCCCAGGUCAGAUCCAAGCUACCCUCAGCUGGUUGUGGUGGUGCACAUGGGUAGGAGUUGCUGAAGAAGGCAAAGGUAGGAGGAUCCUGAGUUUAAGGCCAGCCUAGAAGGCUUGGGAGAAGCUUCAGCGCGGACCGAACCACAAACAGUGGUGGGACCAUGGAGGC